AAUCAACGCUGGCGGCGCGCCUAACACAUGCAAGUCGAACGAGAACGGCUUCAGCAAUGGGGCCUAGUACAGUGGCGAACGGGUGAGUAACACGUGGGUGAUCUACCCUCAAGUGGGGGAUAACCCGGGGAAACCUGGGCUAAUACCGCAUAAUAUCCGCAAGGAUCAAAGGAGUAAUUCGCUGGAGGAUGAGCCCGCGGCCGAUUAGCUAGUUGGCGGGGUAACGGCCCACCAAGGCUCGGAUCGGUAGCCGGUCUGAGAGGACGCACGGCCACACUGGAACUGAAACACGGUCCAGACUCCUACGGGAGGCAGCAGUGGGGAAUCUUGCACAAUGGGGGAAACCCUGAUGCAGCGACGCCGCGUGGGUGAUGAAGCUCUUCGGAGUGUAAAGCCCUUUCGGCAGGGAAGAGUAAAGACGGUACCUGCAAAAGAAGCCCCGGCUAACUACGUGCCAGCCGCCGCGGUAAGAC
rnacentral:rRNA from 1 species